rnacentral:snRNA from 1 species
GGAUGUGACAGCAAUCUGGUCACAACAUCUGUCACCCCAUUGAUCACCUAGGCUGAUCUGGCUGGCUAGGUGGGUGUCCCCUCCGUCCCUCACCAGCCCAUGUGCAUCCUUCCCAAAGCUGCUCGCUUGGUCAAAGAGGACGACCAUCUCCAACAAAGGACUGUUUCCAUGGUCAAGAGUAUAGAAGUUGCGGCACUCCUGUGCAAGAACCUCCAAAUAAGCUCUGAAAAUAAAAAUAAGAAAGGCUCUGACUUCAAACCUUAGUACAAAGGAAAAAAAAUUGAAGACAUUU